rnacentral:rRNA from 1 species
UACGUAGGUGGCAAGCGUUAUCCGGAAUUAUUGGGCGUAAAGCGCGCGUAGGCGGUUUCUUAAGUCUGAUGUGAAAGCCCACGGCUCAACCGUGGAGGGUCAUUGGAAACUGGGAAACUUGAGUGCAGAAGAGGAGAGUGGAAUUCCAUGUGUAGCGGUGAAAUGCGCAGAGAUAUGGAGGAACACCAGUGGCGAAGGCGGCUCUCUGGUCUGUAACUGACGCUGAUGUGCGAAAGCGUGGGGAUCAAACA